rnacentral:hammerhead_ribozyme from 1 species
GCACUGCUGAGGAGUCCUAUACCUCGCGAGAAGCAGUAACCAGUGGAGUUCAAACCACGUCUGUUGUGCGAUAUCAACUCACUGAAGACAUUGGUCGACGGUUGAUCAACUUCAUGGAUUGGUUGAAGUUAGACAUUAACACCGUUGGAUACCGGCUCAGUGGUUCUGGAGGUUAAGCGCUUGCGCGCAGGACUGGUAGGUCCUGGGUUGGAAUCUGGCGAGACGGUAUAGGGGAUGCGUACUUUUAAGGAGUCCCAUAAUAAGACGAAACGGCCGUCCAGUGC